rnacentral:rRNA from 1 species
UACGUAGGGUGCAAGCGUUGUCCGGAAUUAUUGGGCGUAAAGAGCUCGUAGGCGGUUUGUUGCGUCGGCUGUGAAAUCCCGAGGCUCAACCUCGGGUCUGCAGUCGAUACGAGCAAACUAGAGUGUUGCAGGGGGAGACUGGAAUUCCUGGUGUAGCGGUGAAAUGCGUAGAGAUCGGGAGGAACACCAGUGGCGAAGGCGGCUACCUGGACCAGCACUGACACUGAAGCACGAAAGCGUGGGGAGCAAAACAGGG